rnacentral:rRNA from 1 species
UGGCUUAGAAGCAGCCAUCAUUUAAAGAAAGCGUAAUAGCUCACUGGUCGAGUCGGCCUGCGCGGAAGAUGUAACGGGGCUAAACCAUGCACCGAAGCUGCGGCAGCGACACUGUGUGUUGUUGGGUAGGGGAGCGUUCUGUAAGCCUGUGAAGGUGUGCUGUGAGGCAUGCUGGAGGUAUCAGAAGUGCGAAUGCUGACAUAAGUAACGAUAAAGCGGGUGAAAAGCCCGCUCGCCGGAAGACCAAGGGUUCCUGUCCAACGUUAAUCGGGGCAGGGUGAGUCGACCCCUAAGGCGAGGCCGAAAGGCGUAGUCGAUGGGAAACAGGUUAAUAUUCCUGUACUUGGUGUUACUGCGAAGGGGGGACGGAGAAGGCUAUGUUGGCCGGGCGACGGUUGUCCCGGUUUAAGCGUGUAGGCUGGUUUUCCAGGCAAAUCCGGAAAAUCAAGGCUGAGGCGUGAUGACGAGGCACUACGGUGCUGAAGCAACAAAUGCCCUGCUUCCAGGAAAAGCCUCUAAGCAUCAGGUAACAUCAAAUCGUACCCCAAACCGACACAGGUGGUCAGGUAGAGAAUACCAAGGCGCUUGAGAGAACUCGGGUGAAGGAACUAGGCAAAAUGGUGCCGUAACUUCGGGAGAAGGCACGCUGAUAUGUAGGUGAAGUCCCUCGCGGAUGGAGCUGAAAUCAGUCGAAGAUACCAGCUGGCUGCAACUGUUUAUUAAAAACACAGCACUGUGCAAACACGAAAGUGGACGUAUACGGUGUGACGCCUGCCCGGUGCCGGAAGGUUAAUUGAUGGGGUCAGCGCAAGCGAAGCUCUUGAUCGAAGCCCCGGUAAACGGCGGCCGUAACUAUAACGGUCCUAAGGUAGCGAAAUUCCUUGUCGGGUAAGUUCCGACCUGCACGAAUGGCGUAAUGAUGGCCAGGCUGUCUCCACCCGAGACUCAGUGAAAUUGAACUCGCUGUGAAGAUGCAGUGUACCCGCGGCAAGACGGAAAGACCCCGUGAACCUUUACUAUAGCUUGACACUGAACAUUGAGCCUUGAUGUGUAGGAUAGGUGGGAGGCUUUGAAGUGUGGACGCCAGUCUGCAUGGAGCCGACCUUGAAAUACCACCCUUUAAUGUUUGAUGUUCUAACGUGGACCCGUGAUCCGGGUUGCGGACAGUGUCUGGUGGGUAGUUUGACUGGGGCGGUCUCCUCCUAAAGAGUAACGGAGGAGCACGAAGGUUGGCUAAUCCUGGUCGGACAUCAGGAGGUUAGUGCAAUGGCAUAAGCCAGCUUGACUGCGAGCGUGACGGCGCGAGCAGGUGCGAAAGCAGGUCAUAGUGAUCCGGUGGUUCUGAAUGGAAGGGCCAUCGCUCAACGGAUAAAAGGUACUCCGGGGAUAACAGGCUGAUACCGCCCAAGAGUUCAUAUCGACGGCGGUGUUUGGCACCUCGAUGUCGGCUCAUCACAUCCUGGGGCUGAAGUAGGUCCCAAGGGUAUGGCUGUUCGCCAUUUAAAGUGGUACGCGAGCUGGGUUUAGAACGUCGUGAGACAGUUCGGUCCCUAUCUGCCGUGGGCGCUGGAGAACUGAGGGGGGCUGCUCCUAGUACGAGAGGACCGGAGUGGACGCAUCACUGGUGUUCGGGUUGUCAUGCCAAUGGCACUGCCCGGUAGCUAAAUGCGGAAGAGAUAAGUGCUGAAAGCAUCUAAGCACGAAACUUGCCCCGAGAUGAGUUCUCCCUGACCCUUUAAGGGUCCUGAAGGAACGUUGAAGACGACGACGUUGAUAGGCCGGGUGUGUAAGCGCAGCGAUGCGUUGAGCUAACCGGUACUAAUGAACCGUGAGGCUUAACCUU